CCAGCCUGCCCAGUGACAAAGUUCAACGGCCGCGGUACUCUGACCGCGCGAAGGUAGCAUAAUCACUUGUUCUUUAAAUGAGGACUAGUAUCAACGGCACCACGAGGGUCCUACUGUCUCCUUUCUCCAAUCAAUGAAACUGAUCUCUCCGUGAAGAAGCGGAGAUUUAACUAUAAGACGAGAAGACCCCAUGGAGCUUUAAACCUAACACACCCCCACUUAUUACACCAUAACAAUUCAACGGGGCCCUGUUUGCAGGUUUUAGGUUGGGGUGACCGCGGAGCACAAAAUAACCUCCACGAUAAACCGGACUAACCCGUUAUCUAAGAAACACACCUCUAAGAAUUAGCAUACUAAUAUAAAAUGAUCCGAUAUUCGAUCAACGAACCAAGUUACCCUGGGGAUAACAGCGCAAUCUACUUCAAGAGCCCCUAUCGACAAGUAGGUUUACGACCUCGAUGUUGGAUCAGGGUAUCCUAGUGGUGCAGCAGCUACUAAAGGUUCGUUUGUUCAACGAUUAAAACCCU
rnacentral:rRNA from 1 species